CCUACGGGUGGCAGCAGUGAGGAAUAUUGGUCAAUGGUCGGGAGGCUGAACCAGCCAAGCCGCGUGAGGGAGGAAGGUACAGAGCAUCGUAAACCUCUUUUGUCAGGGAACAAAGGCAGGGACGAGUGCCCGGAUGAGGGUACCUGAAGAAAAAGCAUCGGCUAACUCCGUGCCAGCAGCCGCGGUAAUACGGAGGAUGCGAGCGUUAUCCGGAUUUAUUGGGUUUAAAGGGUGCGCAGGCGGACUGUUAAGUCAGCGGUAAAAGCCCGGGGCUCAACCCCGGCCCGCCGUUGAAACUGGCAGUCUCGAGUUGGAGAGAAGUAUGCGGAAUGCGCGGUGUAGCGGUGAAAUGCAUAGAUAUCGCGCAGAACUCCGAUUGCGAAGGCAGCAUGCCGGCUCCACACUGACGCUGAGGCACGAAAGCGUGGGUAUCGAACAGGAUUAGAUACCCUUGUAGUC
rnacentral:rRNA from 1 species